UACGUAGGGGGCAAGCGUUGUCCGGAUUUAGUUGGGCGUAAAGAGCUCGUAGGCGGCUUGUCGCGUCGUUCGUGAAAACCUGCAGCUCGAACUGCAGGCUUGCGGUCGAUACGGGCAGGCUAGAGUUCGGUAGGGGAGACGUGGAAGUUCCUGGUGUAGCGGUGAAAUGACGCAGAGUAUCAGGAGGAACACCGGUGGCGGAGGCGGGGUCUCUCGGGCCGAUACUGACGCUGAGGAGCGAAAGCGUGGGGAGCGAACAGG
rnacentral:rRNA from 1 species